rnacentral:lncRNA from 1 species
UUUGUUUGUACCUGAAAAAGUAUAGAUUGUUAGCUGCCACUUGGGAGCAUGAGCCAUGUGCUGAGCACUCUAUUAAAUACUCACCAGACCAGUCCCAGUGCUGACCAGUCCCAUCGUAUCUCUGACGGUGCAUAUCAGGAUCCGCAUUGAUCAGAUGCCGAAACCAUGGCUUGGAAUGGCUGCGAUGAAGCUGAGCUGCGAUUCAAACCCAGCCUUGCCUUCUCCAGGGACUCACUGUUACCUGUGUCCAGACUGUGGAAGGAUGAUGAGUGUGGAGAAGACAUAUCUGCCCUUCAGUCUUGGCCCAGAAACAAUGCUGAUACCUCCACUGACAUUCCACUGGCAAGAACAGCCCGUGCGCCACACCUGGAAUGGGAAGGAUGGCGAGGAAAUAUCAUUGCUGGUGGGUAGCCACCUCCUAGAACUUCCUUCUCUAGAUGGGCUCACAAAUUCCAGUGUCAGUGAGCCAGUGCUGCCACAGAUAACUAUUCUUUGAAAUAAGGAAUGCCGAAGAGAGCCAGUUCUGUGAGGGAGUAUUGGGAAUUCACACCAUAUCAAGCAAGAGAAAAGAGAGGAAGUAUUUCAGGGGUGCACCACCUAUGCAUGUCAUGUGAUGCCAAAAGCAACCCACCAAUUGGGAUAAAAAACAGUCAGCUGAUCAUUUGACCUUGAAUCCAGAAACACCGAUCAAAGUAAAACACUCACAGCUCGGCAGCCGGCUUGCCGCUUGCUCAUUUUUGCAUCACACAAAUCCAGCCGAGGAAGCAAAGGUUCAAAUCAUGGCAUCUGUUUGCAGAUCUCUGAGAAACAAGGGCUGUGGCCAGAGGAGUGGACGUGCAGUCAGUCAAUAUGGGGUGGGCUUUUCUGAACAAAGAUUCCGAGAAGACCAUGAGCUUGUCAGACAGAAAUCUAAUCUGCAUAUGUGAUCCAUGCAGUCCUAGGUAUAGAUUGCAUAUACAUAUACAAAAUUUGUUUUUAUUCAAUUUGGAAAUAAUUGUUGACCAUGAUUUCCUACAGCUCACACAAAUGAGGUAAGAACAAAGGUGAUCAGUAGUUAAUAAUGGACUGGGACUGUUUGAAAAGCAACUUGGACAAUGGAAUGAAUAAAUAUAUCUGGAUACUCUGACCUCAACCGUGCAUAUCAGAUCAGCUAAUGUCUGUUGGAUAAUUUUAUGUGACGGGC